rnacentral:tRNA from 1 species
GGGGAUUUAGCUCAGUGGUAGAGCGCUUGCCUAGCAAGCGCAAGGUCCUGGGUUCGAUCCCCAGCUCUG